ensembl:lncRNA
CAGCUCUCGAGGGACUCUCCCGGGCUCGGCGGAGGAGCCGGGUCGGCACGCGCCAUUCGCGCGUCUUUUUGUUCCCGUUUGUCUGGUUCCCUUUUCGACCGCUGCGGUGCUGGGCAGGAAAGGCUGGGAAGAAAGCCCGGGAGCGGCUCCCCACGGGCUUUGCAGCCAUUUGGCACCUUGGGAGGAGGCACAAAUCCCCGCGGGGCCGAGCGAGGGCUGCGGGGAGCGCAGCAGGGGCGGCGAGCUGGGCCGGGGCUGGGACCGGUCCCCAAAACCCGCAGCCAGAAGCGACCCAAAAGAACCCCAGAGCCCGGCGAGGGCGACAAAGGGACGGGGCAGCCCCAGGUGUGGCCGGUGAGGAUGACGAGGGGCCGGCCCUGCCGGGGGGUUUGCUGGGAGCACUUUUUGUCGGGAGCUUCUGCAGAGGAGCCGUGGAUCCCGGGGAGUCUCUCCAGCCCGGAAUUUCCCCUGAUAUUUUCGCUCCUAAAACCAAGGGACGAUCGGUCCUGCCUUGGAAGCAAGAGAAUGUCCUGGUGUCUGGGAAUAUUUUGGGCAUAAAACUGGAGGUAAACUGUAGGGGACAGAGGGUGUAUUUGGAGUGUAAUAGCUCAGCAAGUCAGGAGGGGAGCGAUUCAAGUCAUAAACAGGAAAUCAAUAUUUUGGGGCUGCCUUUCUGAGAGGGAAUAACAAUUGUUUUCCGUGGGAAGGCAAGCACGUGGCCCCCAUGAUUUAAGGUGUAGAUGACAGCCUGCCCAGGGGAGGUAAAGGACAGCAAGACUUUUGUGUCCUGACCCUUUCUGGACAAAUUGGUGGAAAGGUGAAGCUUUCACUCAGCAUCUGGGUGAGCUGAUGAGUCGUUUUUUUGUGAGGGGCUCCAGCCAUGUCCCUGGGGGGAAGGGAGGGCUGGAUGGGCUGGAUGGAGCCACAGGCACGUGCUUGUGGGAACACACUUGGCCAGGGCGCUGGGAUCCGGGUCGGGCUCCAGUUCCCCUGGUGUCCAGGGAUGCAGGGGCUGAGGGGUUGGAUCUCCCUGGGGCUUUGCAGGAGAGCAGGAGUGAGAGGAAAUGCGGUGCCAGAGCUGUGUCCCAGUGGGCUGUGUUUGCCUCUGAGGACAGAGAGCCUGUGGGCUGAGGUGAGAUUGCUGUGAGUGUUGGGAUGAGCAAUGCAGGGAACAGGGAGCUCAGAUCAGUCCUUGGGCAGGAAUUGAACUUGGGAGAUCAGCUGGUCUGGCCCCAGAGAGCACCACUGAAAUCAGAAUUAAUGACCUGGCCUGUGCCCACUGCUCCUUAUUCAUUCCAAAGCACGUGUUGGUUCUGUUUUAGGAACUUAAAAUAACUUUAAACGAAAUAAGUCACCAUUUCCUUCUUCUUUUUCCCUUUCAGGUGGUGGAAUUGCCUCUCUGUCCAUGUGCUGAGCUGCAGGUGCAGGGACUGUCAGGCCUUGUUGGCUGUGAGUUCCUGGGGUUCUCCCUGGGUAGUUUAUAAGGUAGAGAUUGAACAUAUUUAGAUCUAAAUGUGAUGAUCAGAUGUGGAGAGGUAGGGAAAGUUUGGGGGUUAAAAUCAGGGGCAAUCUGUAGCAGAGAGAAUGAAAAUGUUGUGUUAAAACAGAGGUAAUCAGGAGUGGGCUGGAAGGGAAAGUUGUGGGGUGAGAUAGGAGAGAGUAUCCAUGGCAGAGAAUGACUAUUUGGAGGUGAAACUGAGGAAUCAGCAGUGGACAGGGAGGGAAAACAUUGGGGUAAACUCUGGGGCAGUGUGUAGCAGAGAGAAGGAAGAUUUUGGGUUCAACUGAGGCCGUCAGUAGUGGGCAGGAAAGGAAAGUUCUGGGGGUAAAACUUGAGAAAACCUACAAGGUAGAGAUGGACUAUUUGGAGGUAAAAAAAGAGAUAAUCAGCAGUGUGCAGGCUGAGAAAACUGUGGGGGUUAAAUGUGAGGUGGUCUGUGGGGGAGAAAAUGAAGAUCUCAUGUUAAAAACGAGGUGACCAGUUGUGGGCUGGAAGGGCAGGUUUUGGGGCUUCAAAAGGAGGUUGAUUCUCUGCAGGGAGAGAAUGAAACAAAGGAAAUAAAAUAAAAAGAAAAGAAAAAGUAAAAUGAAAA